rnacentral:lncRNA from 1 species
ACUUGUUUUAAGUAGAUGGCAUGUCUAUUUUUAGAUUACUUAGGUAGUGUUUGCAUUCGCAUUAUUUAGCUCUUCUUUUACUUCUCUUCUGGGGUUAGCAGUAAACAGGACAGGUAUCCUGUCUAUUUUGAAAUGUCCCCUGAGACUUACCCUAUAAUGUAGCACAGAUUUAAGCUUCCCAGAUGACAUCAAUUCUGGCUACAUAAAAGGCGGUGACCUUAGAUCCUACUGUGUAAUCCUGGGGCAGCCUUGAUCUUUCUGCUUUUCUGAUGACAGCUCUGAGGCGGGGUGAUUUUUUUCAUUUCUUUGCACAUCACUCAUGAUAAACUGGUGCUAUUUACCUCGGCAGAAAAGGGUCCCUGAGGGGGUAUGGUGAGGGGGCCCUGUCCACUUAGAUUAGCCCCCUGAGUUUCCAGCUCCUGUCUCCCUGCACUGCUCCAGAGAAGUGUCACUCAUGUGGAGUUUCUCAGAUCAGUCAAUUCCAGGACAGGGUGGCAUUGGCAGGAUUAUCCCAGAGUCCGUAAGAGCUGUGGCUGCAUCUUUCAGCCCAAGGACAAAUCUGAGGUCUGCUGGUAAGUUAAGCAUAGGGAAAACAACAACUAGCUUUGAGCUUAGAAGGUGUAGGCUCUCAUUUAGGUGAGUCACCUAAAUAGUUCAAAUCGUAGGUCCCUUAGCUGUCGAAUGACUAAGUCCCUGCUCGGCUAGGCUCACAGGCUUGUCGUUGGGAUCAAAUGAAAUUAUACAUCUCAACAGCCCUUUCUAGUUUGCAGAGCUCUCUGAACAUUCAGCUCAUUUCGUCCUCCUGCCACCUGGCCCUGGGAGCUGCAGCUGCAUCUAUGAUGCCCAUCUAGACUCCACCAGGCUGCAGCGCCACCUGUCUGCAGAACAGAGCUGCAGAGAUGACUACCACUGAUAAGAAUGCAUCUGUGACCACCUAGGGAUGCCCAUUCUGUCCCAGACACUGCGCUAGCACUUGAUGCACACAUGACCUCAUUUUCUUCACAACUACCAUAUAAGAUGGGGGUCUCAUCAGGUUGCACAAGCUGAUCUCAAACGCCUGGCCUCAAGUGAUCCUUCUGCUUUGGUCUUCCAAGGUGCUAGGAUUACAGUUACAGAAUCCCUGCUAUUUAGCUGGGCACGUGACUGCCUGGAACAGACCACGAUCCCUGGCUCCAAGGCAGCUACAUCCACGACUAAGUUCUUGCAAUGGCAUGUAAGUAAAAGUGAUAUGGGCAGCUUCUGGGAGGUGUCCUUACAAUGCAAGGGACUUGCUCUUCAUCCUUGACCUCCUUCCUGAUGGCUGGAAAGUGGAUGUGAAGGCUGGACCUGAAGUGGUCCCCUUGGAUCAUGACUUUGGAGAUGAAAGCCUGAGUGGAGCACAGAGAGAGAGGAGCCUGGGUCUCAGACCCUGCAGCCCUGGAUUAUCUACCUCCAGACUUGCAGAGUGAGAAGUGAGGUGAGUGAGAAGCAAACUUUAUUUCCAAUUCAGUUAUUUUGGCUUUUCUGAAACUUGGGGCCAAAGCUUAGUUUAAUUACUCUUCCCAGGUCAGUUUCUGAAUGCGUUCUAUUCCACGGAAUCAAUUUAUCUGUUCCUGUGCCAGCACCACACAGUUUUAGAUAAUAUGGUUUUUCUAGGAUAGCUUAAUAUCUGGUGAGUCCCUCUUCUUUGUUCUUAAAGGCUGCGUUAGCUAUUUACAAGUCUGUAUUCUAUCGUAAAUUUUAGAAUUAGUUUGUCAAUUCCCCCUGAAAACAUGCUGUGGUUUUGAUGGGCACUCACUGCCUUUUUAGAUCAGGCAGGUGAUAUCUGACAUCAUUACCAUAUUUAGCUGUCCCAUCCCGGCUCAUGGUCAGAGUGAGUUAUCUAUAAUACAGAUCUGAUGGUGCCACUCGCAUGCGUUAGUCCCUGCAGAGGCUUGACAUUUGCCUUGGAUGA